GACUAGAGUUUGAUCCUGGCUCAGAACGAACGUUGGCGGCGCGCCUAACACAUGCAAGUCGCACGAGAAAGGAGCAAUCCCCGGUACAGUGGCGCACGGGUGAGUAACACGUGGAUAAUCUUCCCUUGAGCGGGGGAUAACCUUCCGAAAGAGGGCUAAUACCGCAUGAGACCACGGCAACCCCGGUUGCUGAGGUCAAAGCUGGCCUCUUCACGAAAGCUAGCACUCAAGGAUGAGUCCGCGGCCCAUCAGCUAGUUGGUAGGGUAAUGGCCUACCAAGGCGAAGACGGGUAGCUGGUCUGAGAGGAUGAUCAGCCACACUGGAACUGAGACACGGUCCAGACUCCUACGGGAGGCAGCAGUGGGGAAUCUUGCGCAAUGACGAAAGUCUGACGCAGCGACGCCGCGUGGGUGAUGAAGGCCUUCGGGUUGUAAAGCCCUGUGGGGAGGGACGAAUAAGUCGUGGCUAAUAUCCACGAUGAUGACGGUACCUCCUUAGCAAGCACCGGCUAACUCUGUGCCAGCAGCCGCGGUAA
rnacentral:rRNA from 1 species